AAUUACUUUCGUUAAAAGCUCACCAGAUCCUUCCCACAAAACACCACGGUAACUCCUGCAGCAGACAGUGACCUUCUUGAAUCGGUUGCUGGUGUUUGAAAUAGAGUACAGAUCACAUACACAAGAUGGCAGGGCGUGCUUUUGCAGCGUGGUGGUCCAAGAUGAGGCCGUACUACACUCAAGCAUACCAAGAGAUGUGGGUUGGCGUGGGCAUUAUGACAUACCUGUACUACAAAGUAUCAUACGGUGGAAAGAAAGCUGUGAAAGACAAGUCCUCAGGACAUCAUUAAUUUAAGAAGCUUGCCUGGACAUUGGCCCACUAUGAUUAUUUGUCCCCAUUCUGAAUAGUCACCACCUGUAUGUACUGUACCUGUCUGUAUUUUGGAAACAAUAAAAUUGACUGUAAAA